rnacentral:rRNA from 2 species
CAUGGUUGUCGUCAGCUCGUGUCGUGAGAUGUUGGGUUAAGUCCCGCAACGAGCGCAACCCUUGAUCUUAGUUGCCAUCAUUUAGUUGGGCACUCUAAGGUGACUGCCGGUGACAAACCGGAGGAAGGUGGGGAUGACGUCAAAUCAUCAUGCCCCUUAUGACCUGGGCUACACACGUGCUACAAUGGACGAUACAAACGGUUGCCAACUCGCGAGAGGGAGCUAAUCCGAUAAAGUCGUUCUCAGUUCGGAUUGUAGGCUGCAACUCGCCUACAUGAAGCCGGAAUCGCUAGUAAUCGCGGAUCA